CUGGAGGUAUCAGAAGUGCGAAUGCUGACAUAAGUAACGAUAAAGCGGGUGAAAAGCCCGCUCGCCGGAAGACCAAGGGUUCCUGUCCAACGUUAAUCGGGGCAGGGUGAGUCGACCCCUAAGGCGAGGCCGAAAGGCGUAGUCGAUGGGAAACGGGUUAAUAUUCCCGUACUUGGUGUUACUGCGAAGGGGGGACGGAGAAGGCUAUGUUGGCCGGGCGACGGUUGUCCCGGUUUAAGCGUGUAGGUGUGUGUUCCAGGUAAAUCCGGUUCACUUUAACACUGAGGCGUGACGACGAGGCACUACGGUGCUGAAGCAACAAAUGCCCUGCUUCCAGGAAAAGCCUCUAAGCAUCAGGUAACAUCAAAUCGUACCCCAAACCGACACAGGUGGUCAGGUAGAGAAUACCAAGGCGCUUGAGAGAACUCGGGUGAAGGAACUAGGCAAAAUGGUGCCGUAACUUCGGGAGAAGGCACGCUGACACGUAGGUGAAGUGAUUUACUCACGGAGCUGAAGUCAGUCGAAGAUACCAGCUGGCUGCAACUGUUUAUUAAAAACACAGCACUGUGCAAACACGAAAGUGGACGUAUACGGUGUGACGCCUGCCCGGUGCCGGAAGGUUAAUUGAUGGGGUCAGCGCAAGCGAAGCUCCUGAUCGAAGCCCCGGUAAACGGCGGCCGUAACUAUAACGGUCCUAAGGUAGCGAAAUUCCUUGUCGGGUAAGUUCCGACCUGCACGAAUGGCGUAAUGAUGGCCAGGCUGUCUCCACCCGAGACUCAGUGAAAUUGAACUCGCUGUGAAGAUGCAGUGUACCCGCGGCAAGACGGAAAGACCCCGUGAACCUUUACUAUAGCUUGACACUGAACAUUGAGCCUUGAUGUGUAGGAUAGGUGGGAGGCUUUGAAGUGUGGACGCCAGUCUGCAUGGAGCCGACCUUGAAAUACCACCCUUUAAUGUUUGAUGUUCUAACGUGGACCCGUGAUCCGGGUUGCGGACAGUGUCUGGUGGGUAGUUUGACUGGGGCGGUCUCCUCCUAAAGAGUAACGGAGGAGCACGAAGGUUGGCUAAUCCUGGUCGGACAUCAGGAGGUUAGUGCAAUGGCAUAAGCCAGCUUGACUGCGAGCGUGACGGCGCGAGCAGGUGCGAAAGCAGGUCAUAGUGAUCCGGUGGUUCUGAAUGGAAGGGCCAUCGCUCAACGGAUAAAAGGUACUCCGGGGAUAACAGGCUGAUACCGCCCAAGAGUUCAUAUCGACGGCGGUGUUUGGCACCUCGAUGUCGGCUCAUCACAUCCUGGGGCUGAAGUAGGUCCCAAGGGUAUGGCUGUUCGCCAUUUAAAGUGGUACGCGAGCUGGGUUUAGAACGUCGUGAGACAGUUCGGUCCCUAUCUGCCGUGGGCGCUGGAGAACUGAGGGGGGCUGCUCCUAGUACGAGAGGACCGGAGUGGACGCAUCACUGGUGUUCGGGUUGUCAUGCCAAUGGCACUGCCCGGUAGCUAAAUGCGGAAGAGAUAAGUGCUGAAAGCAUCUAAGCACGAAACUUGCCCCGAGAUGAGUUCUCCCUGAGACUUUAGGUCUCCUGAAGGAACGUUGAAGACGACGACGUUGAUAGGCCGGGUGUGUAAGCGCAGCGAUGCGUUGAGCUAACCGGUACUAAUGAACCGUGAGGCUUAACCUUACAACGCCGAAG
rnacentral:rRNA from 1 species